rnacentral:ncRNA from 1 species
AAGAAGUGGAGCUUGCGGCUUAAUGUGACUCAACACGGGAAAACUUACCAGGUCCGAACUUAUUGAGGUAAGACAGAUUGAUAGCUCUUUCUCAAACUUAAGGGUAGCGGUGCAUGGCCGUUCUAAGUUCGUGGAAUGAAUUAUCUGGUUAAUUCCGGUAACGAACGCGACUCAGUCAAGCUAACUAGAACGCUGUCAGUAGUGUGCCUCCGGGCGCACCUGACGUUAGGAGUGGCGGGUGUCCUCACGGGUGCCCGUCACUUAGUUUUCCCUGCUUAGCUUGACAACUUGUGUUUAGCAAGAUGAGAUUGAGCGAUAACAGGUCCGUGAUGCCCUUAGAUGUUGUGGGCUGCACGCGUGCUACAAUGUGAGCAGCAGCGUGUUCUCGCCUUAUGGCGCCCCCAUUCCGAGAGGAACGGGAAAUCACCCAAAUGCUCAUUUAGUAGGGAUUGGGGACUGCAAUGG